rnacentral:lncRNA from 1 species
AAGUCAUGUGUGUGUGUUUGCACUGUCAGUUGCUUGUUCUGGAACUGGGUUGGCAGUCAAAGUGGGUGGAUAGCAGCCAAGAGAGGAGGUGGAGAAAUUCCUUACUCGGUUCUCUAAUCUCUCUGUGCAGUGUAGAGUCCAGUCACUAAAGAAGUUUGGAGCAUCCUUCGCCUAACCUUUGAAGCACUGUGGUGAGUUCGUUCUCUUUUUUUCUAUUUCUAUUAUUAUUACUAUUAAGGAACAUACCGUACUUUCUAGAAGAAAAGCACUGGUUAAAAGUGUGGCACGUACUAUAACAACUUCAUGGUGAGUACGGGCACCAUUUUAUCUAGAAGAAAAGCACUGGCAACACCCAACCACACACCCCAGAUUAUUCCAGGAAUAUAUUGCAUUAGACACAGUGAGAUUUAUGGUGCAAACCUAUGUAUGCUUACAAAGAAGUAACCAUGUCAUCACAGCCCUUGCGGAGCUGGGUGUGGCUUUCUCAGAAAUAAGUAGUAUCAGAGGGGAUCCUAAGACAACACUCUUACCUGCAAUUACCUGGGAAUUAGUCCCGCUGAAUCCAACAGGACUUACUUUUGAGUAGACGUGGUUAGGAUUAUGCUACAGGUCUGCUUAUCUCUUCUGUGACCCAGUGCAGGGUCUUGUGGCAGCAACAUCAAGCCAGCUUUGCCAGCCCGUCUGGUGAAGCAUUCUAGAGAACUAGAAAACUUCCCCACAUUGCUAGAGUCAGAGUGGCGUGGUGAUCAGAGUGGUUCAGAUCUCUGCUCAGAUAUGAGCAGAUACGACCUUGGGUCACCCACAGUCUCUCAGCCUAACCUACUUUACAGGGUUGUUGUGAGGAUAAAAUGGGGAGGGGGGAACCAGAUAUGCCACCGUGAGCUCCUUGGGGAAAGGGUGAGAUAUAAAUGCAAUAAAUAAAUAUUUUGUGACAUUAUCGUUGGUCUUCAUAAAGGUAUUGCCUGACUCUGGAUUUAGGCAUUUUUCCUGUGGACUGACUUCCAAAUUAGGCACAGGAUUGUACUGGUAAAGCACUAUUUAUGUAUGGGCUGCAUCCUUUUAAAAAAGUAUUGUUGGUGAGGCAAGCACUCUCUUGCUUGGUCAAGCUUCAAAACACUGCUCUGGACAUGAGCUUUUGACAGCUACAAAACUGUUCUUCGGGGAUAAAGGUGGUGUGUUGUUCUUUAGAAAAAAACGUUCUUUUAAAAUUGUUGUUGCAUCUUGUGGGCUGGCACUGAUGCCUUGAUGUUAUGUAGAACAAAAAGCUUCACGUAAGUUCUUAAUUGCUUAUAAACUACCCAGCCUUAUGAGUUUCACAAAACCCAGGAACAAGGUAGUUGAAACAUCUCUUCCCCAAGAAAUGGGAGAGGACUUGUAAGGCUGCAAUCCCACCAACCCUUUGCAUUGGGCUAGAGUUGGGGGGAACCUCAGGUAAGCAGAAUAAAUGGUUGGACAACAGAUGAGCCACUCAAUCCAGGCUGGCCUUGCUUGCUUCAGGUUGGCCCAGUGAUUUAUCUGCUCCACUUUCUGCCCCACAGUUUUGUUAAACCUUGCCACUGCCUCUAGAUGUCCAACCACAUAAUACCCCAGGACUUUUUUCCUGAGUCCAUAUAAUGGAACAGUCUUGCUGAAGCUAAGAAGGUCUGGUUGGUUCCCAUGUAGGGAGGACUAUCUAAGAAACCCGAGGUAUAACGCGCAGAAGAAAGGUUUGGUGUAAAAUGUAAUAAAGAGAUUGUAAAUUUCCAUUCUUGCACAUAACAGGAUGGUAAAAUGACGGAAUUCUUGAACUGUGCCAAUUCUUAAUGCAAGAGGAGCUGUGUGUGUGUUUUAAUGUGGCUGUAAUUAGACCACUUCCCCAACUUGCCAGUGUUUACAAAGUUUUUUCCAUAGAGGAACACUGAACAUUGAACACAGUGAGACCCGCUAGGAGUGGAGACUAGACUCUCAGGGCAAAUGGGACACUGCCCCACCGACCUCAGUCUGCCCUCAGCCUCCCCCAGCUACCUGCCAUCUUUACUUACAGCCAGCCAGUCUCUCUCUGUCUCUGUCUCCACCUACUGCUUGCCUCUCUGCCCUCCCAGUUGCAAUGUGCACCACCUACUACUGUUUCUAAUCCAAGAUGCACAGGAGUGCCCCAUGAAAUAGCACGGGCAUGACACCGCAACUGUAAUCACUCAUAGAGUAAAGUUUGCUUUGCCUGAGUAUACAGGAAACAGUAUCAUAGUGCCUUUAUCAGAAUGACCUAAAACCCAUAAAGCGGAAAGCUAAAUUUUGAGUUUUGCAGAACGCUUCUUCAAACUUGACGUGUGUUCAUUUUUUGCUUUUGCUUUUUUUAUGGGGGCAUUUUAGAAGUCCUGUUUUGUUUAGGGGUGGAAUAUUCUGAAAACCUUGAUAUCAAGCUGAUUUGCACAGAUUCUCUCCCCUCCCACCCCAAAAAAAUCUCACACCUUGGCCUCAACAAGAAGUGAGAAACUAUUUCUGUUUGUCUCUAUGGUGGGGACCUUAGCAUCUGACUUGAAUUCUCCUAAGCCACUAUCAUUUUGACUGCAAUUUGCACUUCAUGUCUUUAUCCUCUGCAUGACAUUAUAGAAUUGCAGAGUUGGAAGGGACCCUGAGGUUCAUCUAGUCCAGCCCCCUGCAUUGCAGGAAUAUGCAGCUGUCCCAUACGGGGGUCAGAUCUGCAGCCUUGUCGAUAUGAGCACCGUGAAUGGAUUUUUUUAAUUAUCAUGUUUUUAUUCUUUGUCUGUUUUGUUUGAAUGAGUUUCUGCCCAUAUAAUGAAUGAUGGAUUGAGUCAUCUUGAGCCAAUGGCAGCCCAGGAGCCACAUUGAGGGCAGAUAGAGAAAGGAUGAGAUUGCAAAGAAGACGCAUGGGGAAGCAUUCCAAAUGGGUGCUAAUUUGGAUAAAAUAUGGGGGGGGGACAAGGUAAGCCCCAUCCUGCAUAAUCAGUCACAGGAUGUGGCUCUCACACACACCAUCUGAAUGGCAAUGCCCAUCAACUUGGAGGGGAUAGCCCCCCCAAAUAUUUUAUUGGGAGUUGGCUGCUAUGAGUCCAAAGAUGCUCACAUGCUUUUUUUUUCUUGACUGUGGACCACUCUGAGGCAUCACACAUGUGACCUCUCCAGUAUUAAAGGCAUGCAGAUGAAAUACAGCCUGCGACCUGUGAUCCUGGUUUGUUUUAAACCCUGAUUCCUUUGUUUUGUUGUUGUGUAUGGAAAGCAUAGUCCAAAACGGAAAGCUUCUGCAAAUAUGCUUAUCCUGUGGCAAAAGAAGUUAACAGUUACGGAACAGGGAUGACCAAUGUGGAGCUCUCCAGAUGUUGUUGGACUACAAUUCCCAUUAUCCCUGACCAUUUCCUAUGAUAUUCGGUGUGUGUAUGUUGUUAAUAAACCAAGUACAGUUGGGUUUCUCUAUGGUAUAUCCUAAAAUAAUAGCUAAACAAGUCUUGCAAAUAAGGUUGUGUUCCCUUAAAAAAACAAAAAAACUUGCUGAGAGCAAUGAGUCAGUGCGUCCGGCUGUUAACCAGAAAGUUGGUGGUUCGAGCCCAUGGAGAGACAACUGUGGGCAGGAUUCCUCCAUUGUGGGGUUAGACUAGAUGACCCUUGGGGUCCCUUCCAACUAUGAUUCUGUGGAUAUCAGCUCCCCCAUGCUUUGUAUUGGAUAGAUAGAUGUGGCAGUGAUUUAAGAUGCAGAUCUCAGUGUCAUUUUCUCCUUCCACCCCUACCUUUUUUUAAAGCACGUGUUCAUGUAAAUUCCUUGCUUUAAAGGUUUCAAAAACAACAACAAAGAGCUGGAAAGCUGCAACUGGAGAGUGGGUUCAUGAUGUUACUUGAGAAAGCCAACCUUUAUUGUAUACAAUUGGUUACUGCUGCACAUUUGCAGGUCUGGUUGCCUGUGAACUCAGUCCUCUGCAGGGGCUAUUUUCUUAUGUCCAUUGAUAAUGUAUCGAGUGUGCUUUCACAGCUCAGAUUGAUGCCUCAAACCAUGCCUCGAGCCAGGGUGGUGUAGUGGUUAAGAGCAGUUGUCUCGUAAUCUGGGGAACCGGGUUCGCAUCUCCGCUCCUCCACAUGCAGCUGCUGGGUGACCUUGGGCCAGUCACACUUCUCUGAAGUCUCUCAGCCCCACUCACCUCACAGAGUGUCUGUUGUGGGGGAGGAAGGGAAAGGAGAAUGUUAGCCGCUUUGAGACCCCUUCGGGUAGUGAUAAAGCGGGAUAUCAAAUCCAGACUCUUCUUCUUCUACUACUUCUGCACACACUGUAAUCUCAUAAAAGUUGCUAGCUUUGUUUUGCCAGUUUUGUUUUUUACUAGCCUGCACAUACAUACAUCCCGCUGUCAGCCACGUGUGGCUUGACAGAAGAAUAAGAGAAUGGGGGUGGGAGAGAGAGAGAGAGAGAGAGAGAGAGAGAGAGAAAGGAAGAAUUUGUUUUUAUAAAGCUUCGUGGCCUGCCCACCUGGAGGCAAUUCUUGUUGCACGUGACUAGGCCAGCCUGGUCAAGUACGCUCUGGUAAUUAUUACUUCCAGUGGUGCUAAGAUUCUUCUGAGUGUCAGUUCAAAAAAAUGAAAAUGAGUCCAGUGGUACCUCGGGUUACAGACACUUCAGGUUACAGACUCCGCUAACCCAGAAAUAGUACCUCGGGUUAAGAACUUUACCUCAGGAUGAGAACAUAAAUCGCGCAGUGGGGACAGCGGGAGGCCCCAUUAGCUAAAGUGGUACCUCAGGUUAAGAACAGUUUCAGGUUAAGAACAGACCUCCAGAACAAAUUAAGUUCUUAACCCGAGGUACCACUGUAGUUGCAGGUAGAGGAUGGAGCAGGCUUGUUUUCUCCUGCUCUGGAGGGAAGGACUCAAACCAAUGACUUCAUCUGAUUCCUACUAAACACCAGGAAGAACUUUCUGACAGUAAGAGCUGUAUGCUGUUGGAACAGACACCCAUGAAAGGUGGUGGACUCUCCUUCCUUGGAGGCUUUUAAGAAGAAUUUGAAUGGUCAUCUGCCAUGAAUGCUUUAGCUGAGAUUUCUGCAUUGCAGGGGGUUGGACUAGAUGACCCUCGGGCUCGUUUCCAGCUCCACAAUUCUCUGGUUCUCGGUUGCUGUAAUCUGACAAAACUUAACAAGGAACGGUAGAAGAGUAAUGGAUUGUUGGUGUGAUAAUCCUGGGAGCGGGGCACUCCUUUCCACUUCUUGUGCAUAAGGUGAGAUACUUGACUGGUACCCGGAAUUUUCCAAAACUGUUGUCAAGAUGUGGCGAAGAGAGCUAAAAUCAAACAAGAGAGCAAGCACAAGUAAGUGUGUCUCCUGCCUCAAGUUGCUUCGUUCCAACACAAUGAGCCAAAACUCUACGCAGUACAGAGACCAGUGAUCCACUCUUUGGCUGUUUUGUUAAGCCUUAUAAAGGAAGGGCAGGAUAAAUUAGAUUGGGGCAUUGUGCCACUAGAGUUAAUCCUAUCAGCCCGUGAUCAGAAGUGCUGACCCACCAAAGCCUGCUUUUUUUGGCCAGGGGAAUCAGGCACAAUGCAGAUACCAUAAGCAGGACCAUAAACUGUUUGGGUGGGUGUUGCCAUGAGGAAAACAUUAACUCUUCUUGCAGCACCAUCCUAAUGCAACCUCUUCCUAUUCUCCAUCCCCGACAGAGCUGCGUUGAUUUGAUAUUUUUCGUUAUCCUUUUAGUUACCCAUAUUUUUAGUUAGUAUCAUGUGUAGCUUGCCGCUCAGGCCCCAAUAAUUAAAUGGGCAUUGGCCAGGAAUAGAAAUAUUUCUCUAAAGGAGACAGGCAGUAAGCAAGAUGUGAGCCUCCCCUUCAGGAAGAAGCCCUCAAUCUUUCACUUAGUAGAUCAAACUGAUCUGAGCAGUGGUAUGCAAAAGAAAAGCUGGAAAAUCUGGUUUUGGGUCCAAGGAGCCAAAGCCAUUUUUCAGAUUCUCCUUAUAAUGUUUUGCUCCAAGACUGUGAUGCAGUGGCAAAUUCUGAAGUGCAGGUGCUGUUUUACGACAACCCUCAUAGUUAUGCCCCUGUAGCCAUGCCCCUCCUGUGCAACAGAGAUAAAUGUCUGGCCAACGCAGACAUUAUGGCCUCAGUACCAAGACAGCUUUUUCUCCCCAUCCCAUCCACGCUUCUGUUUUGUUAAAAUUCAGCCUGAUUAAGAGUUUUGGUGGGCUCAAAUGCUUACUCACGCUUCUGGUUCUGGUCUGCCUUAAUGGAUGCCACUCCCAUGAUAGUGGAGACCGUACGAUUCUGGGAUUCUACGAUUCUCCUGCAAGGAAAUGAAGAGACCCAGCAAUAUUUUGUCGCACUUCCCAUGAGUACUCUUUAACAGUGACCUCAGGUGUUUGUGUGGCCCAUGGAAUUGGGAGACCGUUGCACCCUGACUGGAAGGGAGUUCCAUAGAAUUUGGCCUGCAGUGCAGAAUGUUCACACAGCUCUUUUGGUUACAGCCCUUCAGAUAGAGGAAUGCCCUUUGCAAAGUCAAGGCACAUGGCUGCCCUCCAGUUGCCAUGCCCUCAAACUUGGUUAACUGUUCCAGACAGCAAGGAACCCGAAGUAACGUGUGCGAUGAUAAUUGCUCUGAUCUCCAGUUACUUGGUACAAUACAUGAUUUAUUUGGAUGACCAUACCCCCUCCAUUUUUCACAGGGAUUCAAAGUAGCUUAAGGCGUUUCUGGUGCAAUCUGAUAAUUUGGAAGCUUUUUACAUUCAUAAUGCUGGCACUCAAGCCUUCUUUCAGUGGCGCUGGCACCAGCUCUGUUGGCUUCUGUUCGGAUGCUGACAACAAAGGAUUAGCUCAGAGUUAAUAAGGUUGUUUUGAGCAGCCUUCAAAUUCUUGCAGUGUGGUUGGAGUGACGCUCUGGGAUUGUGACAUUGCACUUAUUGGGCAAUAUGGCUUGAGUUGAGACUUGGAUAAAUACUUAGGAUGACCUAUUUUUACUCAUAGAGUACACCCAUGGGGGGCGAAUAGGUCCAUUAAUUUCAAUAGGUUUAUGCUGAGUUAAACUUAUCUGAAUACCAACCCUGCCUUAAUACAGUGGUACCUCGGGUUACAGACGCUUCGGGUUACAAACUCUGCUAACCAGGAAGUGGUUGCUCCAGGUUAAAAACUUUGCGCCUGGAUAAGAAUGGAAAUUGCGCACCCACGGCGCAGCGACAGCAGGAGUCCCCAUUAGUGAAAGAUCUAUUUGCAAUCCUUGUUUUGCUGAUUUCAUUUAAUAUUCUAUUUUUCUGAGAUUGUUAAUUUGGGGUUUUCAUCAGCUGUACACCUAAUCAUCACAAUUAUAACAAAUAAAGGCUUGACAUAUCUUGCUUUGCAUGUCAUGAGUCUAUCUCAUAUAUUAGUUUCACCUUUCAAGUUGAAUUACUGAAAAAAAUGAACUUUUCCACUAUAUUCUAAUGUUUCAAGUUUCACCUGUAUGUAUCUGAAGAAGUGUGCAUGCACACGAAAGCUUAUACCCAGAACAAACUUAGUUGGUCUCUAAGGUGCUACUGGACAAUUUUUUAUUUUUCUAUAUAUUGUGACUGCGUCACAGCUACUUACCUGAAUUUUGAACUGUAUGAUUACUGACAAACACACUCCUGUGACACCUUGGGAUGUGUGAGCUCCUCAGCAAUCUGGACAUCUGCAAAUACUCUCUAGGAUGUAGAGUGCUAAAUUCAUCAGAUGAUAAUGAUGGCUAUAUUUAUGAAUCACCUUUUAUAUACCUCCCAAGGCAGCGUAGAAACAUAUCAUAAAAACUGCAAAAAGAAAUGCUUUUUAAGAUAAGUGUUCAUUUUGUAUUGUUUUUAAACCUAAGGCGGGGGGGGAAACAAAAGUAACUCUCAUAAGCCUCAAGCCAGCAGGCAGGGAUGCUGGGAGCUGUUCUCCAUAACACCUGGAGGACAUACCGUAUUUUUUGCACCAUAACACUCACUUUUUUCCUCCUAGAAAGUAAGGGGAAAUGUCUGUGCGUGUUAUGGAGGAAAUGCCUAUGGGUGACAUGCCUACGGAUUUUCCUCCUCUAAAAACUACGUGCGUGUUACGGUCAGGUGCGUGUUAUAGAGCGAAAAAUACAGUAAUCUUGGCUACCCCUAGGAUAGUCACUUAUAGACAACCUCCUGCACCCAAACAUAUAUUCAGCCCAUGGCCUUUCACUGGUCUUCCUGUGUAUUAACACACAUCUGAUGGGGAUUAAUGGGCAGCUGUGAAAUAAAAACCCAGCACCCCAGGUUAUUUUUAAGCCAUUCUGCAAAUAAGUGUAGCAACGCAUUUGCCUUGCAAAGAGCACUGGUAAUUCUAGUCUUGCAGAUUCCCUGCUGCAGGGUUUUCCCCUAUCCUCUCUGCAUCUAUACUCUCCUGUUUUCUCUCACAGAUCCGCUUUCCUGAAGCCAGCCUGAGCCAGCAAUGGAUCUGAAGCGAAUGAAGGAUUACAUCUACUGGCUCUAUUACCAGUAUCUCCUGAUCACCUGCAGCUACGUCCUGGAGCCCUGGGAACGAUCCAUGUUUCACACCAUCACAAUUACGGUGGUUGCCAUGGUGGUCUACACGGCUUACGUCUUCAUCCCCAUCCACAUCCGCUUGGCUUUUGAGUUCUUCUCGCAGAUAUUUGGAAGUCAACCCGAAAGUACUGCUUCACUUAUGGAGUGAUCCCACCAGCACCAAUGAGCAGUUCUUUGCAUGCAGUGGGAAAAAAAACAAACACCACAGUCUUCCUCUUUCUUUGACUGUAUUUGUUUUGAAAGCAAUUUUGAACAUGUGGGUUGAUGUGCAUGCAGAUUCCGCCUUCUCUUAACCAAGCCAGGCUGUCAUUGCCCUAAAUACCAGCUGGCUCUCUCAUUGGACCAUCUGUUUAAAGCUGCAAUUGGACCAUCUGUUUAAAGCUGCAAUCCUAUCCAAGCUUACCUGGGAGUAAGACCCAUCAAACGCAGCUUACUUCCAAGUAGACAUGCGUAGGUUUGGGAUGUUGGUGACAACUUCCCCUUGUAAUGUGUUGCUUUGCUAAGAACCUCUGUAUGGAUUGCAUUCCUAUGUGACACAUCUUAAAUGCCUAGUGAACCUGAUUCAUUAUCACCUUUUGGGGACCACUGUUGGGUCAGGCUUGCAUGUGGUUCACUCACCUGUCUUGCACACCUCAUACCUUGAGUGUUUUCCUAUCUAGCAGGAAGGAAUCUGUGAAUAUUUUUGUUUAGGGGUAAGAGAAGAACUCUUACAAUUACAGCGUUUUAUGGCUUUUUCUUUUGAAAACGAUGCUUUUAUAAAAGUUCAGUAACUUUUCUCUCGUGAUGCUUCCCCAACCCCAGUUCCUCCCUGAUGACACAUAUAAAGUAGCUCUUUAUAUAGGACUUUACACCUGGAUUUAAAGCGAUGACUUUCAGCUUAUGUAUUCUGAGUAGAGAAGGGCAAAAUUGGGAAACACACACCUGGUUUGGUGAAGGCUAAGCAGAAAUCUGCCUACGCAGAGGGGUAUUCUCUCCCCUUCCUCCCACAGCAGCCCUUUUGCUCCCCCACCUUCCCAAAAAGCUGGUCCUGUGAGGGACCCUCCACAAAAGUGAUGGAUGUAUUGCAGGUGGCUGCCACUGGAGGCAGGACUUGGCAGAAAUGGGGUGGAGGGCUGACUUAUGGGAGUAGAAGUGUUUUUCCCUCAAGUAAAGCUCCUUCUGGAUCCCAAACAUGAAAUAAUCAAGAGCCUGUAUCUCAAAUAUGUUAUAGUUCUGUCAGGACAGGAAAGUGUAUCUGGGUUUGAGGGGAGGAGCCACUGCAAUAUAUAUGUUUUUUAAAAUCUUGACAUUUUGCAGGAAACAGACUUGGAGCUGUACCUGUUGUUUACGGUGAAGGUUUUGUUGUUGUUUUGCCUUGCAGCAUGGAGUUCACCUUGCUGAAUGCCAAAUACAGAACUACUUCCUAUUCUGUUACUUUUUACACGAGGUAAAUAAAGCAUGUGUUCAUGCUAUUCUGGAAGUAGAAGCAAUAUCCAAAUAGCUGCAAAGGCUCUAAAAGCAUUUAUAUGGAAGAUUCAAUACUGAGAUUUCCCUUUUUAGAAAGCAAAAAGCAAGCUGCCCUUGGGCCAACUUUUCUUUUUGCCUUUUAAAUGUGUCAAUGUUAUACUUUUAUCUAAAUGAAAUAUGAAUGCCACACAGGGCAAGCUUGCAUAUCUGCUAGAUGUGCUUCUUGCAGCAAUGCGCAACUCUACAACUGCUGGAGGCGAUUUUAAGUGUUAAAUGUAAAUAACACUCAGUGUUUGCAAAAUUACAUGCAAUAUCAGGAAAUUGCUUCUUUUAUGCAGACUGUGUGAGACACUGCAUGUAAAAAAAAAAAGCAAGUUACAUUGUUUCUGUCACAAAGAUGUGUUUUGAAGAUUUAAGAGAUCUGAACAUGUGUGCUGUUUUGCAGAAACAAGAAUAAAGUUAAGUUUAUUUUAA